rnacentral:lncRNA from 1 species
UUUUUUUUUUUUUUUUUAAUAUGUAUUUGUAAGUUAUUGUUUUAUACAUAUGUUAUUGUGAUUAGUGGCAGAUGUAUAUUGGGAAUAAGGUGGUCCGGAACAACUCGAAUCUCGAAAAUAUGCAUUUGAAAGUCUUUUAAAGAAUCUUUAGAAUAUUUGGUAUGGAUUUUUUUUGUGUCUACCAAGUGUUUGAUCUAAUGUUUGUUAGCCAUAUCUCUGCAGGUUGCCUUGACUGUACUCGAUAAAUCAUCUCGAUAUCACUCAUCAUAUUACUUCAGCAUUAUUUCGUAUAUGUUGACAUGUGUGCAGCAUGGUUUGGCUGGCAACAACAAGCCCACCAAGUGUUUGACAAAAUGUCUUAGUGAAUAAAUUGAAAUUUUUUUGCUCGCUUCGCACUCUGUUUCAAGUUAAAAACUUGUACUUUAACACGACAACCACUCAAAAUCCGCCAUUAAUUGUGAUUGAUUAUAAAUUACGAAAACAAUAUAUUGAGCACUUGUUUAAAUGUAAUUUGUUUAUUGGAAUGACCCGAACACGUAAGAAACCAAGUGUUUUGGGUGAAAGAAACUGAAGUAAUAUCAUAUAUAAUUCCAACUUAUAUUGUGCUCAAAAUUGGUAAGAUGCCCCUAUCAACUCCGAAUAGGCUUUUUCCCAUACGUAGAUUCCAAAUGUUUCAAAUCAAAAGGAACAAGCAAAAUAGCAGAAAGCAUAAGUAGCUCUACACAUGCUUCUAAAAAAAAAGAUUUUUUUUUCUUAUUGAAGGCAAGUGAACAAUACCAAUGAUACUUUCAUAUUGACAAUUUUACCCUCAACUUUUUUUUUUGCUAAAAGUAUUUUUAUCACUAUAGUCUACCAAACACUUACCUGCUUUUAUUCACAUAAUUCUCGUGACACAGGAGAAGCAGUUUUUGAAAGAAAAAAAAAACACAGCAAUCCCAAACUAACCCUAGUUUACAUACAAUCUCUACUUUGUUAAAUGUCUCAAGUUCGAUUCUUAUGCUUUUCAUACAAGUGUAUUGGGGAGGGGAAUCAAAUUUAGAAUCUCAAGUUCAAAAAUAAAUACACUUAACAACUUAAGUUACAUGCUCCUUAACGAGUUAUAUUGCAUUAAGAAUGACUCCGAAUAUGUAAAAUAGCAAUUAUUUUUCUUCAAAAGAAAUUGAAGUGAUGUCAUAUAAAACUCCACUUCAUGUUGUGAAAAGAAUUUGAAAGAUAUGCCCCAUUCAAAUCCGAAUAGACUUUUUAACAAAGAUUCCAAAUGAGGAAAACGUUGAUGGUGAGCUGUCAAACUAAGAUGCUUUACUACUCAGUGUGCCAAGACAAUCCACUUUUGGCGGAUAUGCUCACAUCGAAACUCUCAAGAUGAAAUGGUGGAAAGAAAUUAGUGGGAAGAUUAUGGGCAUAAAUUGACACUUACAGCAUCUUAAAAUGUCAAAUUAUAAAAGUUAUAUUAUAAUUGAUAGCUGAUGUGUCAAUCUGAAAUCUUACGUCAAAUUUUAUAUUUCUCUAAUCAAAUUGUCAAAUAUUAUUAUUUUUAGUACUGUAGAGCUUUAAAUGGUUGUAUUUAUUAAAAAAAUGCUAAUCAUAAAGGUUUCAAAUCUGAUCAGCAGAUACACUUUGGUUGGAAGGUUUUAUUAUAUCAAAUAUACUAAGUGGCGUCUCCACCUAGGAUUUGACAUCUCUUUUGGAGAUGCUGUAAUUGUAAACUUGGAUGGAUCAAUGUUAAAAUGCAAUAUGCAGGAUUGAUAUGUGAUUCAAUCCUGGCUCUUCACAACAUAAAUCAAAACACAACAAUCUGAGAAAAUAAACGAAGACAAUAUUUGUACAAAAUCUCGCACGAGGAAAAAAAAACCCUCCGCACAGGAGAGAAAAACCUAAAGGCACACAUCCAAUUUCACUAAAAAACUUAAGGAAUUAUCCAAGACUCAAUUGAUACUUUCUUACACCACAAAAGAAACUUGAUCAAAUACUCUUGUCUUGUAGAACACGCCAUCUUCACCUUCUCUUGGAGAACACCGAUUCACACAGGUUGAUGAUCUUCCUCAUAGGCAAAGCUUACACUAAGUUCCAUGAUGAAUGAAUGAUGUGUUAUGCUCUCAUACUAUCACCUAGAUAAAUCUAAGAACCUAACAGUCUUUUGUCUCUCCACCUUGACCUUAUAAAACAAUCUCACGAUUUUGAUUAGAGUGCAAAGGGUGUAGUGUAAAACUCCCAUCACAACCCUUUAUAUACUAGGUUAACUCUUUUACCUAAUAAACAAGGAGAUUGACCUUAUUUAAACCUCUUCCUUAUUUAAGACUCUGCAGAUUUGUAUAGACUUCUAGAAUCCCACACCAAAUCAAUCUUUAAUAGGAAAAACAAAUCCUAUAUGAAUGCAAAUGAUUCUUACUAGAAAAGAGCUUUGCCAUGUAACAUUAGUCAAUCAUGCUCCUCACUUAACGCAAGCUCCAAUCUUUGCAUGUUACAAUUAAUCCUAAGACUAGGAAUAACCAACUUACAAACUCUUUACAUUUGCUAGGAAAUAGCCAACUUAAUUACACUUUUAGAUGCACUUAUAGCACCAAAUGACCUUGCUCGGCCUAUCCACACCUCUCGUAUCUUAUCCAGUUGUUUUUAUCAUAUUUAGUGCCAUCAAAUUGAGCUUAGUCUGGUAAUGUUUAAUUUUUUAUUUGUGAGAAGUUUCGAGUUCGAUUUUUAUUUUAUUUCAUUACCCAAGCGAUGUUGGAGUAGGAGAGUCAAAUUUAAAACCUCAAAGAUAAACGUAAAUGCUCUUUUACUAUUUGAGCUAAAGUUCUUGGUCAAGUUCAAUUCUUAUGGGCAACAGUUGUUGAAUAAAUAAAAAAAGCCGAUAUGGCUAUUGGGCUUACGGGCCGAAGCCAGUGGGCCUAGACAUGAUAGUGCACUCCUCUAGACCAAGCCAAACUCGGAAUAUUGCCCUCUUUCAAACGGGCUUUAGAAUUUUGUUUGGGUCAGAUGUAGUACAGUGGCUUUUUUAACUGGGUCGGGUCAGUAUCUUAUCCCAAUUUUGCUGGACUGAUCUGAUCCCUAUUUUACAAUUUUACCCUUUUCUGUUUUUCUUUUUAGGUUUACAAUUUUGCCCUUUUGGUUUCGGUUCAUAUUCAGUGUUUAAAAUAUUCAUGAAAUUGUCGAUAUUUCCUUCGAAUAUCCAAAAAAUGAAGGAUCGAAAUGGAAAAGGGGAUGAAAUGCAAACUUUAUCCUAUAUCGGUGAGAUAUAGGAAAAUCAAUUAAUAUUGACGGUAUUCUUCAUUCAGUACAUAAAUUUUGUUGAAACCCACUGCAUAUUUCGAACUUUUGAAUUUUACUGGGGAAAUUUUUCUCUAAUUUUGUCUAAGUCUGAAUUAGUUGAAUACACCCCUCAUUGCAAAUUUCCAUAAUGUCCAUUGAGGACAACCGAAAUUGAUAUCGAUAAUUUAUCGAUCUUCCAUAAAGUUGCAUAUCGAUAACUCCACCUAUAUCAAUUUUGUAAACACUAUUUGUAUUUCCACCACCAUAAAUAUUUUAAACACUGUCCAUAUUAGAAACAUGUACUUCCUUUUCUUUUUCCAGUUAUUUUUUGCAACAGUUAGUCGCUUGUAUUUGGUCUCAACCACCUCAAACUAACCUCACUCGAAUAAAGUAUGAUACCUUAUGCAGGGGUCCGGACAUAAGAAUCCUUCGACAAGGGCUGGCUUAGUCAAAUAGUGGUGGUGCUCUAGAUCUUUGCCCUUUAUGGUCGGUUGGCUAGGUCAAGAAUCAAAAUUCAUUAUCCGAUUGGGCAAAUUGUGGAAAACUACUUGCUAUACAAUUGUGACCUCGGGAGGCCAAGGGUCCCCAGCUUUUUAGAAAAUAUGCCAUCUAAUAUACAGAAAACCUGCACAUAUCCCACAAAAUAUAAAAGAUUGGGUGGCUCUAAUUAGCACUAGUGUUGCUCUCAACCUGUUAGAAUUUAUCUUCCAAUGAAUGCCUCAUCCUACUAUUUGUUAGUGAUGCUAUUAUUAUACCAUCAAGCUUUAGUGUCCACAUAAAAAUAAAACACAUGGUUUAAGCUAUAUCAAAGGCACUUAUGUAAAGAGUAAAAGCACCUGUUUAGCUGCUUGUUAAACAACAAACUGUUUACUGAAAAGUGUUUUCUACAAAAAACGCUAGUGAGUAAAAACAUUCUAUGGAGUAGUACUUCUAAACAAGCCCAUAUAAAUUUUCAUGUUUUUCUUGGUACAACAUAUAUAUAUUAGAUAUUUUUGGGAAGGAAAAAUCAAACACAUAACUUUUAAUGCAAAUAUGAAUGCUCUUAAGUCUGAACCAACUGAGUUAUACAUUCUAGCAAAUCAUUUUCAUGUUUGAUGUAUAAGAUAUGCGUAUAUACUUUGGUGUAACAUAUGAAUAAUAUCUUAUGAAAACAUAAUAUAUAGGAUUUAUUUGCAUAUUCUCUCUUUUAUAUAUCAUUCCUUCUCAUCUUUAUAAUGAAUAGUGCAGCAAUUCUCGUCCAUAUACGUUUCACUCUGAACACCAACACCUUGUUUUGUUUUUGGUGGUGGGGGACUUAAGGUUUUGAUGAAAAAACAGAAAGAUUCGACUAAAGGGGGCCGAAGAGAUCAUAUCAUUUGAUGAAAAGAAAAAACAGAAAGAUUCAUCUAAAGGCAGCCGAAAAGAUCAUAUCAUUCAAUCUUUACUUCCGAAGUGAACAAAAACUUUUAGUAAUGAUGCAUGCAACUUAUGAAUAGUAAUCAAUAUUAAAACAACGCCAACUAUUAUCUUCACGUCCGAUUGCCUGCGAUAAAGUUUCCCUGAAGCUCAAGGUUGAGAGUCGAACUACGUACACAGAAUGGCCUCAUAAAGUGAUCACUGAUCACAGAGACAUUGGGCAUAUAUUUUUAAGGUUCUCCUUUGAACCAAAUUAAGAAAGCGUUGAUAAGAGUUCUUGGGAGUCAACGGCCUCUUAUCCUCGACUAGCCUUUAAUCUUUCGAGUUCUUAAUAGCCCGAGACCACUUGAUACUACGAUCUAAUGGUAUUUCUUUUCCCUUGAAAGUGAGAGGUCUUAAAUUCGAUUCUCGCCAAAGACGAAUUUGAACCACAUUAUUGCUAGUCCAUUGUGAGGCUAAACCCACCCACUUCCUCUUAAUGUAGAUAAUAUCGUUUGUUAAAUAGCCCAAGACUUACAGAUCACUAUGGCCAGACUUUCAUUUAUGUUCGUUCAAAAGGUCCCACAAUCAAGCAGGCGUACACGAAUACACUCGACAAUAAAAAUAUGACAAUAAUUUAGAAUAUGAGAGAAUUUCAAACCAGAAAUGCAUGUGCGGAAACUCAACAUCUUAUUCACUAAAAUAUUGGAUCACAUGCAGAAAUCAUUUCUCAUUAAACCUUGGUCAACUUAGGAUUAUUUUGGUUGAGCAAAUUACACCAUGAGUUGAGACGGAUAUCAAUUUAUUAUAUGCUGGAUACCCUCUAGAUUUGUUUAUUUGUUAGAUAUUUGGUCUUUGGUCCCCAUGCCAUGCAUGCUUAAAGCUUUUGCCCUGUUCACUACAAAAAGAAUAAAGAGAUAAAAAGCUUAAGACAACCACACAGGAACACGAUAGAUUACAAACCAAAGUGAGUGGGAGACUCUUUACCAUACUUCAAUAAAUAUGUAUAUCUACAUCCCUCACAUGCAUAAUAGAAAAAAAAAUCUGUACUGUCUACGUAAACACUUUAAUUUCUAACCAAAAGAUGGAGAUAUGCAUGUUGCUUUUUCUAAAGCAUUAUGUACCAAAUCAAAUUGUUGGAACCAAUUAAUUUGUUGUCAGAUUAACUAAUUAAAGAGACAUGGUCGAUAGCUACCAUGCAUUUUGAUUAAGAAUUAUAUCUUUGCGUUUUAUUUGUUUCCAUAUUUUAAACGACGAAUUAUAGUUACGGAAUCAACAAAGUGUUUAUAAUAUGUCAAAAUAUAUUGGUACAUGACGUUCCCCUUCAAAUAAAAUAUAACAAGUUGCCAGAACCCUAAUCCAGUCUUACCAUGAGUUUGAACUGAAAAGACGAAUGUCGUGCACUCAUAAUUUCUAAUUACAACUUGAAAAAGCUUAUCAUUGCCAUAGAAACAAAGAUUUCAUAAAACAAAAAUCUACUUUACACAUCAGGCUGAGUGAAAAGUAAGAUUUAGGUCCUACAAAUAACCAAACAUUAAUUAAGCUAUUGGCCUACUUACGCAAAACCAAAGUAAAUAAAGCUAAGCUUCAUAUUACAACCCCUUUUAUUUCCCCCUACUUUCACCCUUUGAACUAUAAGUACAUCAAAAUUAAUCCUGCCUUCCUCCCCCAAGUACACACCGUACAUACUAAGUAUAUAUAAGCUACUUCUACAUACACCACUCGUAAUUAUAAUCUUCACAUAACGUAGCACCCACUUCCAUAUUCUUUGUUAACGGACGUAUCUUCAUCACCAUCAUCAUCGAUAGAAUAGGACGGCAGAGGAAACGAGAACCUGCCUGGAUGAGAAUACGUAGCAGUAUGCAUGGGAUCAGGAGCGAAGUAUGAGCUACUUGUACUGGUAGGGUACGCCGUAUUGUAACUUAGCCCGUACGUUGGAGGUGGAUAGUACAUUGAUGUUGGGUACGGGCCGGGGUACGUAUGCUGAACUGGUGGGCCAAGAUUCAUGGAGGCCAUCGGCUGAGUCAUUUCUGGCCCACCGGCCAUGUACGGCUCAAUACUGCCCACAGGAGGCGGAGCAUUCUCGCCGAGGUUGGCACCACCGCCGGUGGGGGAAUUACCAUUUUGCGCUUUCUUCUUCUUCUUCUUCUUCUUUUUGGCCCCAGUACUUGCACUAUUUCCACCACCAGCACCAACAGCAGGACUAGUACCACUUUCUCCACCAGCUUCAUUACUCUCGCCACCCUCUGCGUCGGACUCACCGCCGUCGUCAGCAUCAUCACCGCCGUCGGUUUUAUCCGGUUGAUCAUGAUCACCAUCUUGUUCAUGGUUAUGAUCUUCAGGCUGCUUCUCAUUGUUAUUACUAUUAUUCUUUGAUUUCGACUUUUUCGCUUUCUUAACUUCUGGCCAAAGCUCAGCUUGCUUCCCUGACUUCAACAGCUUCUUCAGUAGGGUCUCCGCCUCCACGUUGCCCGUCACAGUCACCUUGUGCUGCUGCGAAUCAAUCUCCGUCGUGUAAACCCCUGAUCACGUCAAUUAAUCAAAACACGAACGCACACGAGUGAACACAUGUGUUGCAACUAGAUAAAAUAUCAGGACAUGGUUAAUAACCAUUUCGUUUUUAGUUUUUGUGACAGAAACAGAAAAAACGCAUGGCAAGAAGGACGAGUGAGAAAUGAAGGAGAAUGUAUAAACGUACCUUCAAUGUUUUGAAGGACUUUCUUGACCUUCUUCUGGCAUCCUCCACAGUGGAUUGAGACUUUCAAAACCCAUGUCUGGAGAACGGAGGAGAUGAUCAACUUAUAAUUUGUGAAGAAAAAAACUUGAAAAUAAUGAGAAAAAGGACAAAAAUAUUGUACUAAUUACCUGGUAUUUUAAGGUUCCAGGAGCUUCUUCAGCUGGUUUGGUUGCCAUUGAUGAGCGAGAGAGAGAGAGAGACUGAUGAAGUGGGAAUAAGGAAAGUGGGGAGCUUUGAGUGAAUGUGUGAUGAGGUUUAAAGAGUGGGAAGAAAGCAUCUGGUUUGGUCAUGGUGUGGAUGCCACGUCAGCUUCCACACCCCAAUACACCACUGCAGAUCUAACACGUCAUCAAACUCACGUGACCCUCCAUGAAGACCCCACUACACCUCAACCAACUGAGUUCAACUUCACAAACUCACAAGCUCACUGAUUAAAUUUCAUAUUUUUAUCUGAAGGUUAUGAAGGUCACGCAGAAGGCUUAAUUGCAAAACAAUCACGCACUAAUAUGCGUUUUUUAACGAUAUGAUUAUAAAUCGGGAAAUGAGAAUAUCAUUGUAUAGGAAUGUUAACUUCAACAGUACGGCUCAGUGACAUCCACUGACCCACAACAUACAGUUCCAGAUAUCAAUCUAAUCUCUGCCCGUGAGGAGAGAUGAGAACCUUUUGAUGGAUGAUCAGCUUUGUACUGCAUCUUUUGCUAUUAUAAAUAGAAUCGGACGGUCUUUAUUCUUUUUCAAGGAUUUAAUCAUCGAUUUUUACGAGUACAGAUCUUCUUCGGAUCUAAAAAAAUAGAGCUUAAUGAUCAAAUGAUCCGGGCCAAGGGACCAUUCUUUGUAGCUAUUGGAUCAAAUUUCAACAGUCCGAAUCAUUUGAUAUUUAGGCUCCAUUUUUUUAGAUCCAGAGACGUUCUGUACUCGACUUUUAUAGCCACUAAUAUAAUUGACUCAGAUUGGCCCUAAGCUAACCUACCCUCAAAGGAUGCUGCUCAGAACUUCAUAGGCCUAGAAGUUCCUUGCAAGUAAUCCAGGAAGAAGAGCUAUGAAUGAAGAUUCUUGUAACAAAUGGACAAGAAGAUUCUAGUAAGCAAAGUUACGAAUGUUCGUCACUGUUUUUGGGCUAAUCUACACUGAGCUAUACGAUACGAAGGAACAUCCAUCUCGUAACCAGCUGUACACAUUCAUGUCAUAUAAUUAUUUUGAUCCAGCAAGUGUUAGAAUCGACUGGACUUAAAGCUGCCCUCUACAGUUUUUUGAUGCGGAAAAAGCUGCGUUGUUCACAGUGAACAUGUCCUCCUGCAAUAUUGCAUGAACAACACUUGUACAAAGUAUGGUGGUGUGUAAAGUAAAAGUAAUUGAGUUAGAAAAGACUAUGGCAAUUGGCAACUUCCUUUGCUGGGCCAUUGCCAUUGUGCUUUCAAUGAACUUUUUGAUGGGGGGUUUUGGAUUUAUCUUCAGGAAAACAACUUGUCUGUAACUGGUUCACUAUUAUUGUACUUCGUGACAUUCCGUUUCAGUAAUACAAUAUCAUCUAAAAGAUACUUACCCAAAAAGACAUUAUAUUUUUGAAUCGGGGUGCCAGAUAACAAUGAAUCCGUUCGAUAAAAGUCCUUGUAUUCUCAUGCAAGCAAUCAAUUUAAAGAUGCAGAAAAAUUAAAAUUAAAAAAAAAAAAACUCCAGACAAAGAAAAUGAUUUUCACGAGUAGAAUUUUCAAAUGCGUAGUACAUAUUACACAAUUACAGUAAAUAAAAUGCCUUCCUUUCGUCUAAUUCUAAAGCAGGCCAAGCAGCUUUUAAUAUGGAAAAGACUACAAACAGCUAGUAGUUAACAAUUAUUGUGAUUGCCAGCUGUAUACGUUGUCUCUGUAAAUCAAAAGGCAAAAGCGAUACAUACGGAGCAUGAUUUUGAAGAAUCGUAAUUAAGUCACGUCAACAUUUUGUGUUAAUAGAGAUAAAAGGAAAAUGAAAGAAAAGGAGAGGAGAAGUGAGAAGAUUUGAAGAUGGGAGAAUCCUGCUCAUAUACACACACAAAAGAUAACAAUAAAAACAUUCUAAAAAAAGAUCAAAUGGUUAUCACCAUACAGCGGAAGCACUUUUGAUGAGAGAUAUUUUAGUAGAGAUAUCAUAUAUAAUCCGGCUAUGCACAAAAGUUCAUCCUUUAUUAAAGAAUGUAAUAAUGUCAUUAGUUGUGUGUUUAUAACAUCAUUUUAAUCGCCAACAAAAAGUAGGAACAUAUUAUUAAUAAAUUUUCAAUAAUAUUGACACAAUAUCAAUUGAAAGAACUAACAUUCUACACAAGGGCGGAUGUAAUUGGGACCAAGGUGGUCUUAGAACCAACCGGAAGCCAAAAAACACGCAUGUGAAGGUCCUUCAGGAACCCUUCGAAUGUUUGCUAGACAUAUCUCAGUAAGUUGUGUCUAUAACACUCGACAAAAACUCUCAAUAGCACUCAUCAUAUUGUCUAUAUCUGUUGACAUGCAACAUGGUUCAGCUAACAACAAGAAACCUUCCAAGUGUUUGACGAAAUUUCUUGAAUAAACAUUUUUUUUUUGCGCCACUUCACACUCUGUUUCUAUCUAAAAAUCUUAAAUGUUUAACACUGAACACGAUAUCGACACAAAAAAAUCCAUCUCAUCAUAGCAGACAAUACGUAAAGGGGUUUCACUUAUCUGCACUUUAUGUGAACCAAUGGAUUAGCCAGGUCAUGAGCACUAGAGUGAUUUGUGACACAACUUGGCACUCCAAAUCAUUCUUGCUUUAUCAAAUAAUACUCAUCCAAUCUCAAAAAAGAAAUCAAUUAACUUAAUCACUACAACAUCCUAAUUAAUGCAGUCCAUAUUAUCACAUAAAAUGACUCGACUUCCAUUUCGACAUGACACCCUCGACAUUUCAAUCGUCACCCUCUCUUCCUAACUAUCUCCUGACGUCCUCCUAUCUCUAUGUCGUGUCAGGAGAGAGAUAGGUAUAGAGGGUCUGAAACUGGGGAUGGAAACGUACUGAGUUAUUAAAAAGAAAUAUAACCUACAAAAACUCAAAAAAUUGAACCUCGAGUGCAAUAGUCUUAGGUAAAUGCAUUGAAUCAUUCUUCAUUGUUGCUACAAAAUAAAAGGUGAAGCUUCUUGUUCUAUGAAUGACAGAUCAAGUUCUCAACAAGUACAAUUCCAAGGUUGCUAUAAACUAUGAGUUUUAUAAAACUUUCUUGAAUAUAAGAACACCUACGACAAUGGAGACAAAAACCGACGACGCACCUUGUCUCGAAAGCCCAAAUUCGGUCCAUGUCAAGGGCUUUGUGACUUCAAGUAAGACGUUGCGGAACUGUGCUCUUAAAUCUUCUAGUGAUCCAGUGUUAUCAACCACUAUGUCUGCCCUGGUCCGUUUUAUAUCGAGUGACAUCUGAGCAUUUAUCCUGUUUCCAGCAUCCUCCUCACUUGUUCUGUCCCUCGACAUGAGUCUCCGGAGCUGCGUUUCAGGAUCAACCCAUACAACAACAAUAGGCUUUGUCCAUUUGUCCAUCUUGGCCUCGAACAACAGAGGAGCAUCAAGAACAAUAACCUUACACCCCUUCAUCCAUAGCUUCAAAAUUUCCCAAAAGAUUCCAGACGAUAUAUAAGGAGCUAGCAGUCUACAAGAAGAUAAAAACUAGAGAUUAUAGCAGAUAUGAUAGGUAACUUGUGCGGUAAACUACACUAAACUAAACCUCUCAUCAAGUGGGACGAAAACAAUUUGAAUUCGACAAAAUGUAACUGGACAAAACUAGAGAUUAUACCCGAUUCCUUUUAGUAAAAGGAAUCGGCAUUAUUUCAGCAGUUUUCAAGAAAUCACAUGUGAAUUUUGACCUUGAUGCGUCAAUACUCGAGGGAGUACUAUGGAGCCUAUAUGGUAUAAAUGCACAACCAUAAGGGAAGUUACUUUCCUUGGCCUCUCUAGGUUUUACAUACAAUGCAACACUAUCUUUCCAACAAGAAGCCAGGAAAUCCAACGGUGAAUAAAUUAAGAAACGAGUUUGAUUUACUCAACUGCACUAGGGAUAAUGUAGAAUCAUAUAGCAAAAAGUUUAACAGAGCGGUACUCAAUAAAAUCGCAAACGAACACUAGAGCUACUUGCAAAGAGGUAGUACCUACCGGUUAAGAAGUUGGCGCUUUUCGGGGUUAGAGAACACAAUUUGUCCCAGUUUAGGCCUAUCAACUUCUCCAUCAGGUUGCAAAAUGUCCUCUCCAAAUGCCGAAACAACCUUUUUCCAGCCACCAGUGCCCUUCUUCAACACAUCCUGAAACCAAAAAAUUACUCACUCGGCGAAACAGCCGAAAACAACCCAUUGACAUCAAAUUCUUCCAUGACAUUGUCAAAAGCAUAAAGUUCAGGGUCUGAUCAUCACUCACUCGAGCAACAAGAUCGGCAUCAACGACUGGAAUGCCAUGUUCCUUGAAGAGAUUCGAGACGGUACUCUUCCCGGAAGCAAUUCCACCGGUCAACCCCACUAUCCUCAUUCUUUCUGCUCUUUCUGUUAGCAAUUGAUCCUACUAUACUACAACAUUUUAAGCAAAAUUAAUUACAAAAUUAAAGUAAAUUAGCAAACUUUAAGCAUAAUACUCGAUAUUUUAAUGGAUUGGAAUUUUGGGUUCCUAGAAAUGAAGAGCCUUUGCUCUUCCCUGUAAUUAUUUCAUCGUUUCGAUUGCUUUUUUCUUAGUUCUCACUGUAAAAGACAAGAACUUUUCUACCUUGAAAAAGCGCUUGAAACAGGCGGUGGUAUGAGACUUUCGGACUUCGAUCCGCCCAACUGGGUGGCGGGUGGCCUGCCCUUUGAAGAUCGGACGACAAGGAAGAGAAACAAGUCGGCGGCGAACCGGACGGUGGCCGGAUGGCGCCGGAAACUUGAAGAGCAGAGGCGCGGUGCUGUUCGCGCAAGGAGAUAUUGAGGGGGCGAGUACAGGUCUGACACGCGGUACCUGCCAAUUGCUGCUGCUAUGCAUGUAGCGGAAAGCCUAAGAAAAAGAGCAGAAACACAUUUUAUUACUCUGUUGUUUGAUUCUCUUAACAAAGAAGCGCAUCUGGUGUAGUGGUAUCAUAGUACCCUCCCACGGUACUGACCAGGGUUCGAUUCCCUGGAUGCGCACUUUUUUAUUUUUUAUUUAUUUUUGUAUUUGUUUUUAUGUGACCAUUCAUUUGAAAUUUGAUACUUCAAAACCAAUACAUUCUUAGAAAAGCACUUGAAAGCUUUUUAAGCACAUAAGGAACGGUUUUGCUCAUUAGCGCUAUAUGCUAGUCGAAAUUGAUACUUGAAACUCAAUAAAUUCUUAGAAAAGCACUUAAAAGCAUCACAUAUUUGGAAGACUGUAUUGUUUAAUUUUUCAGCCAAAUAAUAUGAGUAUCGCAAAACUAUAUUAUAUGUUUCUCAACCUGAUCAAAUAGCGGGGUUACUUUAGAAGCAAGUAAAAGCUUAAGGCGAGCUCAUGUCACCAUAAAACGACGUAAUAAUUUUAGCUAUUUUAGACACACACGGCCUUGGAAGUUCUUCCGUUCCAUCAAGUACAAAAUUUCGACAUAUUUCUAAUGCGUCUUCAGUAAAAGUGUGCUUAUGAUAUGAGCGUUUUAGAAAGCUCAGGAAAAGGAAAGGGUUUUAGCCUUAAACCCUAAGGACUGUAGUCUUGAGAAUUUACCGAAUUGCCGUUGUCUUCCCUCUCCGUUCUCAGAUGAGAUGACGACGGGGGUUUGAAUACAUGACUUUAUAAGGAGGAGCGAAUGGGAAUUAGAUGUGAUCUUGGGAGCUUCUUUGAUCGACAUGUAUGGAAAAUGUGGUAGGAUUGAAGAGGAAUUGGCGGUUUUCAAUACCAUGAAAGAGUAGAACACUUUUACUUGGAAUGCACUCAUUAAACGGCUAGCUCUUGCCAAAUAUGGUAAGGAGACAAUCCGGUGGUUUGAGAGGAUGGAACAAGAAGGUAUCAGAAUAGACGAAGUGACUUUGGUUGCAGUUCUAAGUGCUUGCAGUCACACGGGGUUGGCAGACAUCGGUAGGCAGAUUUUUCGUUCCUUGAGUGAUGGAAAGUAUGGAUUGUUUCCCGGGGUCAAGCACUAUACUUGUAUGAUUGACCUCUUAGCACGUUCGGGGUGUCUUGAAGAUGCUUUGAAAUGCUUGAAAGAAAUGCCUUUUGUUGAGCCAACUAUAACUAUUUGGGGGUCGUUGUUGGGCGGUGCUAAAAGUCAAGGGAAUUUGGAAUUGAGCGAGUUUGCAGCUUGGAAGCUUGUUGAACUGGAUCCAGGGAAUAGUGGUUACUAUGUUUUGCUGUCGAGAAAGUGCGGGGGAUGAUGAAACAGAGGGAUCUGAAGAAAGACUUGGGGUGUAGUUCCGUGGAAUUCGAACCCUCGGACCAAGUUAAUCAGCUUUUAGCACAAUAAGUCGCAAUGUAUUUACAGUUCUUUCAAUAUAUAUAGGUUGUCUUAUUGAAUUGGGUUGUCUCCAAUUUACUGACUGCAUCAAGUUUAUUGGAUGCCGAAAGAUAGGCAUUGCUCUGAUUGCAGCCCGGUUAUAUUUUCGAAUCUCAGUUGGAGUCAGUUGAGAUCAAAUUACUGGUUUGGUGGAACACAAACUUAAAACACCAAAAACAGAUUGUAAAAGCAUAUGCAAAAGGCAUCAGCAGCAGUAGCGGAGUCUUGUCCUUCAAUUAUUUCGGGGAAACAGAAAAUCAGACGAACGUUUGAUAACUAACAUACAUGUUAUUAUUGUAGAUAUAUGACUCUGUUGAGUAAGCUGCAGCAGCAAGCUUUAGUACUUGUUUCACUUUUGCUGGGCAACGACUUUGUUCCAAGCUGGCCUUGCUGUGAUGUCCACCACCCAUGCGAGAACAUGGGGGCGGGAUUCGAACAGCUUCUUCGAUUGUGUUCCCAUCAAGUAAUGUAUGGUGGGGAGGUGGUGAAGAUCAGCCAAAGUGAAGCUUUCACCUGCCAAGUAUUUCGACUGAGCCAGACGAGUCUCAUAUACAUCAAGAACCACAGCCAACUUGGCUUCAUUUUCCUCCACAACUGCCGCGUCUGUGGUCAUUUUAAACAUAGGCUUUAUAGCUAGCUCAUAGGUCAGUUUUGUGGCCGCCGGGUCGAACUUUUGGGCCUCCACCUCCGACCACAAUGAUAUAAUUGCCAUCUUCUUUGAGUCUCGGAUCACUAGAGGGGUUCCCUUGUCAGCAUACUCGUGGGCAAUGUAUUGUGUAAUCGCCCUUGAUUCUGCAUGUCAAAAGGUGCAUAGCUGAUCUUAUAUGCACAAGCUCAUAAUUCAUAUAUGUUGUGUGUGAAUUUGAUGUCACGACUACAACAGGUAUUCCAAGCCAAUCAAGAACGGACAUGUAUUUUAACUCUUUUUCAUAUGAAUGUCCUUGAUGGGUUUGUGAUACCCCGCAUUCCAGAUACAGGUAAGUUUUUCUCAAUGCGAAUGAAUCAAAAACAAAUUUAUCUUAUAUAAACAUAUUCAUAUUUCAUAUAUGCUAUGUGUGAAUUUGAUGUGAAUGAACUGAUAUAUGUCCUACUGUGACAGUGAUUGAUUGAUUUUGGAUACCGUUACAAUGACAUCUCAUUCCAGUUACAGAUAAGUUUAUGACGCGUGAGCGAGCUAAACACAAACUUACCAAAGAGCUUAAGAUCUCCGUCUUCGAAAGCUGGAACUUGACCAAAUGGCUGCAUCAAUUGAAGCAAAGAAAUGUGAGAUUUACUGACCAUAAAAAAAUACUUGAUAGUUUUGUUCUUCAUGUUCUCAUUGUAAUCAUAUACUUACAUUGAGGGAUAUGAAGGGCUCCUUUUUGUGUUCACCAGCUCUCAUGUCGAUUGGAACAAGCUCGAAUUCGAUGUCUUUCUCGUAGAGAGUAGCAAAAACUCGCAUUGCAGCGGUCGAAAUAACGUUUCCGUGGACCUUGAUGGCAGCCAUGACUCUGAGGAAUUGAAGUAAGAAAUUUGAGCAACUGAGAAAGAGGUGUUGUGAUUUGGACCCUAAUAUGGCCUAGUAUUUAUAAGACAAUGACCAUUGCGGAUAAGGAUUAAGUGCUUCUGAAAAAAGUAGCAUUUAGCUAAAGCUAAUACGUGGUUUGGGUGGAAGCUUUCAAUUAUUUUUUUUGGAUUCGCUCAAGGGGAUUUCGUAUGCACCCAUGUCACUCGGAAAGGGAUCUUCUCAAGAUUUUUUUUCUUUCUAAUCCAUCAAAUUAAAGGAUCUGUACGCUAAAAUUUAAUCUAACGAUUACAAAUAGAUGUUCACUUUAAAAAUUAUAUUAGUUUUAAUCAUUAGAUCAAAUUUUAACUGUACGAAUCCGAUGAUUUGGUAGAUUAAGAGGAAGGAACCUGUCACUCACUACCCUUCAGUCUUCUUAAAAUGCAAAAGAUAGUCCAAAUACGACUUUCCAAUAAAGCAACUGCAAGUCAAAAUAGGACUUUUAUAAAAGCAAGGUUGUAGCCGUGCUUCCAAGAACUUGAGGUCUAGAUUCAGAUAAUUUAAUUUAAUUUAUUGGAAAAAAACAUAUUUUUAUAUUUACGAUUGGGGUGGGCAGUGGAGCUGGCCAUGCUCCUUCACCAUACCAAAUAAAUUAUUUUCUCUUUGUCAGAUAUUGCACAUGUAAUUGUUUAGGGUAUGGAAUAAACUACGAGAUACGGUUUUAGUGCAUGCUGUUUAUUUAUGUUUUCUAAUUAAAAAUAUAUAAUGUGUGAAACUCACUUUUUAAGAAAUGCAUAUGUAGCCAGAGAUAUUUUAUAUUUUUUUAAUGUGUUCAGAAUAUAGAACGGCACGCUAUAUACUAUUAUGGAAGUGGAUAGAAUUUUUUUUUUGAAUGUUCCUCCAUUAGAUUAGUAUAAUAGCAAAUGAUAUAUGUGCCCGUAGUCCAAACAUUAAAAAUCUCUAAGGGUCUGUUUGGUAUUCAAUUUGAAUCCAACAUUUUAAACUCAAAAACAAUUUUCAAGUUUUAGGCCUUAAAAACAUGUUUGGUAGGAUUAUUUUAAAAAACUAAACUCAAGACUAACUAAAAAAUAUAGUUUAUUUUCUAAAAACAUAAAAAGUGAUAUUUUAGAGUUUGUAAACUUAAACUCACUCAUUUUUUUUUCUCUCACUCUUCCCCUCUCACUCCAAAUCUAUGUCUCUCUUUCUUUUCUUCUUUCUCUCCCCUCUUUUUUUUGUUUACUUUUUUCGUAUCUCCUCCAAUCUACUCUCUUCAUUCUCUCGGUUCUUUCUCUCACUCCUCUUCCUCUCUAUCUCGUCCGAUCCUCUCUUCUUUCUCUUUCCUUUAAUCAUCCCUUACUUUCUUUUCUCCUCUCUCCUCUUUCUCCCUCUCCUGCGACCCUAUCUUUUUAGAUCUCUUUGUCUAGUUUAAGUCAUAAGAUUUAAAUUUUUUAAAUCGCAAACCAAUCAAGUUUUUUAGUCUUAAAGAAAAUUGUAAUGUUCUUAAGAAAUGUUUUGAGGAAUGAUAAAAAAUUUCAAAUAGGAUACCAAACAUGCCCUAAUUUACGUGUGCUUCCAAGAACUGGCCAUCUAGAUUAAAAUAAUAUAAUCUAAUUACACAAUUUAAUUCACGAUUAGGGUGGAUAGUGGAGCUGGUCACGCUCCUCCAUACACACAAAAAUUAUUGUUUAGGACAUGCCGAAUUCUUAAGGAGUAAACUACGAGAUACGUUUUUCGCGUACGUUGUUUAUAUGUUUUCUGAUAAGAAAAAAUAGUGUGUGAAAAUCACUUUGUUAGACUAUGGGCGCAUAUAAACGCAUUUCGGCUUGGUGGCCUCCUUUAAUGUAAUUAGAUUUUCUUUACCUGAAAGACAAAAAAUAUGGAAGCAACUUUAGUUACCUCGUUGGAAACUUACAUUUAUGGAUGCUUGAUCGAAGAUAAAUGAUUUCAAGGUGUGUGAGAAGGCCGCUCUUAAGCGUAGAUUCGUUACUUGGAGAUAAUCAGCGUAAUAGGUUAUGGUGGAUUACCCUACACUUGUAAUAAUCCGAUCGAUGAACAACAGCUUUGUUAUUCUUUUGGAUAAAAAUCUUAGAGAAUUUGAUGAGCUCAAGUGAUUUUUUAAGAGGUUGGGAAACACUUAUAGGGAGUUUGGAAGAGAAAGGAAUAGUUGAAUGAGGAUAUUUCCCCCCAAAGAAUAAUAGGUAUAUAUAGGAAAAUUAAUUUUGAUACAACAAUCUGGAACGUUACUGCAAUCUAUUUUGUGUCAAGUCUUCCGUUAGCUACAAACACUACAUAUCAAACACCAAGUCUUCGAUUUUUCUGUAAGAAAAUUCAAUUUGAUGUUAAGAAAAAAGCAAAUGUUAAACGCCUAGUGUUAUGACUUAGUUUAUACAGAAAAUAAAUUGACAAUUGAAAUCAUAACGGAUGUUUUAAACAAAGAUAACAUUAGAAGAUCAAAGUAACUGAAGAAAACAGCCUAACCAAUAGUGAUAUGCAUCCUUAAUGACAUUAAGAGAAAAGCUGUUACCCACAAUUAUAGGAGAGAUUUUUUCUUGUGCUCGUAACACAGGAUGGUACGUCACAUGUCAUUAUACAAUUUGAGGGAUAUUUGAAAAUGCAAAACUUUCUUUUACUUAUAAAAUAACAUGUGACAUACCACCCUAUGUUCCUAGCACACUGAAAAUCUCUUGAAUUAUAGAUGUAACUAGUCAAACAAUGGAAAGAAGUGCUUACUUGUACUCUAUAUUGCAUGGAUCACAUUUUUCAUUUAGUGGUUAUUCAAUAAAUAGACAAAUAUUGUUAUAUAAACUUUAGUAAUGUUAAUCAAACGGUUAUACGAUAAACUUUAGCAACGUUAAUCGAACGGUUAUACAAUUUUUGCUUUGAUUGAUUUUUGCAGUGUUAAUCUUUUAAAGGUCAUUUUGGUUCUGGUCUUUAAUCAACCUAAUUGUUAGAUUGAAACCUUGUUUGUUUAAAUAUUUUGAUCAAGGUCCUUAAUUAGUCUCAUUUAAGAGAUUGAACUCAUGCAUAUAUGCAUUUAAUGACACACUGCGACCCGAAAUGUCCACUAGGACUCCGAAUUGAGUUGUGCUGACCGACACUUAGAAGGUGACGAAGCCAUAAAGUGUGAUGAUGUGGAAAAAUGUGAAUAAAUUUAAACCUAAGAGUGUCUAAAUACCAGAGUGCGACAUGAACGGAAAUGAACCCAUUUCACACGGGACGUCAGAGUAUAAGCAAAGUACAAUAGAGUGGAUUGAAAAUCAUACAAUUGAAGGUAACCUCCAAUACCAAGACUUGCCACAAAUCCUCGUAGAUAAGAAAGCUGAGCUAAUAAAACCUGGAAGGUGAAAACCAACCAAGGGUAAGUGGUCCUGGAAAUAAAAUUUUAAUAAAAACCAUAUAAAACAUUAUAACCUCUCGUUACAACAUCCGUAUAGUUUCCAGAAAAAUCAUAAACAUACCACAACACAACAUCUCAUCAGCAAUAUCAAUAUUCGUGUGAUUAAUAACCCAUACUAGCACGCAAGUCGGAGUCACCUAUGGUGACCUGUACGACUGCACCAGUAUCUUAUCAAUCAAUGUUAAUUCAUAAGUCGAAGUCACCUAUAGUGACUUGUACAACUUACCCAUAUAUCAUAAUAUAUGCUAGCUCAUCACAUAUUUCAUCAUAUAUGCUAGCUCAUCACAUAUGCUAACUUAUCACAUAUUUCAUCACAUAUGCUAGUUCAUCACAUAUUUCAUAAAAUAUGCUAGCUCAUCACAUAUGCUAGAUCAUCACAUCUCUCAUCACAUAUGUUAGCUCAUAAGUCGGGAGUCACCUCUUGUGACCUGUACGAUUGAAUCUAUAGCUCAAUAAUUAUACAUGCACACGAGUCGGAACCACCUAAAGUGGUCUGUACGACAGGAUUAGGUGUAAAUAAAUACGCUCAAGUGCUACGAUCACGUGAAGACUGUGCGAAUAAUCGCAGGUCACUUACGAGUUGGAACCACCUAUAGUGGUCUGUACGACAUGAUUGUGCACCUACCUUGAAUCCAAGAUGAGCGUAAGGUGCGAGAGGUGAACAUCAAGAAAAGACUUGGGGUGUAGUUCCGUGGAAUUCGAACCCUCGGACCAAGUUAAUCAGCUUUUAGCACAAUAAGUCGCAUUGUAUUUACAGUUCUUUCAAUAUAUAUAGGUUGUCUUAUUUAAUUGGGUUGUCUCCAAUUUACUGACUGCAUCAAGUUUUUUGGAUGCCGAAAGAUAGGCAUUGCUCUGAUUGCAACCCGGUUAUAUUUUCGAAUCUGAGUUGGAGUCAGUUGAGAUCAAAUUUGGUGGAACACAAACUUCAAACACCAAAAACAGGUUGUAGAAAAUCAAACGAACGUUUGAUAACUAACAUACAUAUUAUUGUAGAUAUAUGACUCUGUUGAGUAAGCUGCAGCAGCAAGCUUUAGUACUUGUUUCACUUUUGCUGGGCAACGACCUUGUUCCAAGCUGGCCUUGCUGUGAUAUACGCCACCCAUGCGCGAACAUGGGGGCGGGAUUCGAACAGCUUCUUCGAUUGUGUUCCCAUCAAGUAAUGUAUGGUGGGAAGGUGGUGAAGAUCAGCCAAAGUGAAGCUUUCACCUGCCAAGUAUUUCGACUGAGCCAGACGAGUCUCAUAUACAUCAAGAACCACAGCCAACUUGGCUUCAUUUUCCUCCACAACUGCCGCGUCUGUGGUCAUUUUAAACAUAGGCUUUAUAGCUAGCUCAUAGGUCAGUUUUGUGGCCGGCGGGUCGAACUUUUGGGCCUCCACCUCCGACCACAAUGAUAUAAUUGCCAUCUUCUUCGAGUCUCGGAUCACCAGAGGGGUUCCCUUGUCAGCAUACUCGUGGGCAAUGUAUUGUGUAAUCGCCCUUGAUUCUGCAUAUCAGAAGGUGCAUAGCUGAUCUUAUAUGCACAAGUUCAUAAUUCAUAUAUGUUGUUUGUGAAUUUGAUGUCACGACUACAACAGCAAUGCCGUAUUCCAAGCCAAUCAAGAACGGACAUGUAUUUUAACUCGUUUUCAUAUGAAUGUCCUUGAUGGGUUUGUGAUACACCGCAUUUCAGAUAUAGGUAAGUUUUUCUCAAUGUGAAUGAAUCAAAAACAAAUUUAUCUUAUAUAAACAUAUUCAUAUUUCAUAUAUGCUAUGUGUGAAUUUGGUGUGAAUGAACUGAUAUAUGUCCUACUGUGACAGUGAUUGAUUGAUUUUGGAUACCGUUACAAUAAUAUCUCAUUCCAGUUACAGAUAAGUUUAUGACGCGUGAGCGAGCUAAACACAAACUUACCAAAGAGCUUAAGAUCUCCAUCUUCGAAAGCUGGAACUUGACCAAAUGGCUGCAUCAAUUGAAGCAAAGAAAUGUGAGAUUUACUGACCAUAAAAAAAUACUUGAUAGUUUUGUUCUUCAUGUUCUCAUUGUAAUCAUAUACUUACAUUGAGGGAUAUGAAGGGCUCCUUUUUGUGUUCACCAGCUCUCAUGUCGAUUGGAACAAGCUCGAAUUCGAUGUCUUUCUCGUAGAGAGUAGCAAAAACUCGCAUUGCAGCGGUCGAAAUAACGUUUCCGUGGACCUUGAUGGCAGCCAUGACUCUGAGGAAUUGAAGUAAGAAAUUUGAGCAACUGAGAAAGAGGUGGUGUUAUUUGGACCCUGAUAUGGCCUAGUAUUUAUAAGACAAUGACCUUUGCGUUUGAGGAUAAGGAUCAAGUGCUUCUGAAAAAAAAUGGCUUUUAGCGCAAGCUAAUACAUAGUUUGGAUGGAAAACUUCUAAUUAUUGUUUUUAAGUUGGCUCUUGAAGAAUAAUAGAUUGGUUGGGAAAAGAUACAUUAUUUGUUUUUUCUAUUUGUUUUAUUUUUCACAAAGUUUUGGGCAAAAGCUCAAGGGGAUUUCACGUGCAUUGAUCCUAGGAUCUCAGGAAAGGGAUCCGGCAAGCAUCCAAAUCCUUUCGUAUGCACCUAUGUCACUCACAACUCACCGGUCUUCUUAAAAUGCAAAAGGAAGAGCAACAGGAAGCCAAAUACGACUUUCUGAAAAGAGUAACUGCAAGUCAAAAUAGGGUGCUUCCAAGAACUUGAGGUCUAGAUUCAGAUAAUACAAUUUAUUGGAUAAAAAAAAUAUAAUUUUAUUUUAUUUACGAUUAGGGUGGGCAGCGGAGGAAAGAUUUUUUAGUAUGAUCGGCAUAUGGGGUGGUACAACAUAUGUCACUACAUAAAUAGUGAGAUAUGUGUGUUAAAAAAUUAAUAAUUUAAAAAAUAAAAUUUCUCACCAUUUACAUGAAAACAAAUGAUAUACCAUUCGUAUUCCCGUCACAAUGAAAAAUUUCUCGAAGUGAAGCUGGUCAAGCUCCUCCACCAUAGCAAAUAAAUUAUUUUCUCUUUGUCAGAUAUUGCACAUGUAAUUGUCUAGGGUAUGGAAUAAACUAUGAGAUACGGUUUUAGUGCAUGAUAUUUAUUUAUGUUUUUUAAUAAAAAAAAUUAUAAUGUGUGAAAAUCACUUUUUUUAAAAUGCAUAUGUAGCAUGAGAUAUUUUUUAAUGUGUUCGGAAGUGGAUAAAUUUUUUUUUUCUUCAAAUGUUCCUCCACUUGUAUAACUUCACUUGUAUAAUAACAAAUGACAUAUGUGUUUGUGAUCCAAACACUGGAAAUCUCUAAUGUACGUGUGCUUCCAAGAACUGGCCAUCUAGAUUCAAAUAAUAGGGUGAAAUGCCGAUUUAGUUCAUGAUCACUUUAGUGAAAAUUAGGUCUCUAAAUUAUUUUUUCGAUAAAAUAAGUCCCUAAAUUCAUUAGAAAUUGCUAAUUUCAUCUAUAUUAUUAUAUUCAAAGCUAGAUUAUCUAAUUUUUCGUCAACUUAAGUCAUUUGAUACAUUUUAGAGUGCAAUACCAUCAUUUUCUCGUCUAUAAGCCCUUAACAUUUCAUAUAGGUUGUGAAUUUAAUGUCUAAUUUACCCUCAAAAGUUAACUUACACUAGUUUUUUUUAUGAAAAACUACCAAUUUAUCCUCCAAAAUUAACUCCAUACACUAUUUCUUUAUGAAAAACUAUCAAUCUACCCUCCAAUGUGUAUCACAUACAAGUAACGUGACUUAAAUUGACGAAAAAUUGAAUAUAGUAUCUUCGAAUAUAACAUUAGGGAUGUAAUUGGCAGAUUUUUAUAAUUCAGGGACUAAUUUUUCUGAAAAAAAUAGUUUAGAGACCUAAUUUUCACUAAGGUGAUAAUUCAAGGAUUAAAUUGACAGUUUACCCCAAAUAAUAUAAUCUAAUUACAUAAUUUAAUUCACGAUUAGGGUGGAUAGUGGAGCUGGACACGCUCCUCCAUACACACAAAAAUUAUUGUUUAGGACAUGCCGAAUUCUAAAGGAGUAAACUAUGAGAUACAGUUUUCGCGUACGUUGUUCAUAUAUGUUUUUUGAUAAAAAAAAAUAGUGUGUGAAAAUCAUUUUGUUAGACUAUGAGCACAUAUAAAUGUGCAUAUAAACGCAUUUCAGCUUGGUGGCCUCCUUUAAUGUCAUUAUCUUUCUUUAUUUGAAAGAAAAAGAAGCAACUUUAAUUACCUCGUUGGAAACUUACGUUUAUGGAUGCUUGAUUGAAAAUAAAUGAUUUCAAGGUGUGUGAGAAAGCCGCUCUUAAUCGUAGAUUCGUCACUUGGAGAUAAUCAGCGUAACAGGUUACAGCGGAUUACCCUACACUUGUAAUAAUUCGAUUGAUGAACAACAACUUUGUUAUUCUUUUGGAUAAAAAUCUUACAGAAUUUGAUGAUGCUCAAGUUAUUUUUGAGGAGGUUGGGAAACACUCAUAGGGAGUUUGGAAGAGAAAAGAAUAGUCAAAUGAGGAUAUUUCCCCCCAAAGAAUAAUAGGUAUAUAUAGGAAAAUUAAUUUUGAUACAACAAUCUAGAACGUCACUGCAAUCUGUUUUGUGUCAAGUCUUCCGUUAGCUACAAACACUAUAUAUCAAACGCCAAGUCUUCGAUUUUGCUGUAAGAAAAUUCAAUGUGAUGUUAAGGAAAAGCAAAUGUUAAACGCCAAGUGUUAUGACUUAGUUUAUACAGAAAAUAAAUUAACAAUUGAAAUCAUAACGGAUGUUUUAAACAAAGAUACCAUCAGAAGAUCAAAGUAACUGAAGAAAACAGCCUAAUUAAUAGUAAUAAGCAUCCUUAUUGAAAUUAAGAGAGAACCUGUUACCCACAAUUACAGGAGAGACUUUUUCGUGUACCCGUAACGGGAUGGUACAUCACAUGUUAUUAUACAAUUGGAGGUAUAUUUGAAAAAACAAAAACUUUCUUUCACUUAUAAAAUAACAUGUGACAUACCACUCCAUGUUCCAAGCACACUGAAAAUCUCUCGAAUUAUAGACUAACUAGUCAAACAAUGAAAAGAAGUACUUACUUGUACUCUAUGUUGCAUUGAUCACAUUUUUCAUUUAGUGGUUAUUCAAUAAAUAGACGAAUAAUGUUACAUAAACUUUGGUAAUGUUAAUUGAACGGUUAUACUAUAAACUUUAGCAACGUUAAUUGAACGGUUAUACGAUUUUUGCUUUGAUUGAUUUUUGCAGCGUUAAUCUUUUAAGGGUCAUUUUGGUUCUGGUCCUAAUCAACCUAAUUGUUAGAAUGAAACAUUGUUUGUUUAAAUAUUUUGAUCUAGGUCCUUCGCCUCAUUUAAGAGAUUGACUCAUGCAUUUAUGCAUUUAAUGUCACAUCCCCGCCUGGGGUCCACCACAUCAUGGGCCCUCUCCACCACCAUAGCACGAUAUUGUCCGCUUUGGGCUUACCAUUCCCUCACGGUUUUGGUUUUGGGAACUCAUGAGCAACUUCCUAGUGGGUCACCCAUCAUGGAAGUGCUCUGGCCUUCUUCUCGUUUAACUUCGGAGUUCCUACGGAACCCGAAGCCAGUGAGCUCCCAAAAUUCCUCGUGCUAGGUAGGGAUGAGAAUAUACAUUAAAUGAUCACUCCCUGGGCGAUGUAGGAUGUUACAUUUAAUGUCCCACAAAUUAUGAAAUUUAAACAAAUUCAAAUAAUAUUUUUUAAAAUAUAAUAAAUACUAAAAUAUCAAUUUUAGAGUAAUGUUGUUCUUCACAAAAAUUAUAACAAUAAUAAUAAUAAUAAUAAUAAUGUGCCCACAUAAUUAUUAACAUAUUUUAAAAAAUAACCAUUGAUAUAUUUUAAUACAUAUAAUUAGCAUGGGUACAUUUAGCAAAAUAAAAAAUGGGUACCAAUAAAUUUAAAAAAUAUGGGUACAAAUUAAAGCUGAAAAGAAAAUUGGUACAACUUAAAAAAAAAGGCUUGCAAAUUAAAAAUAAAAAAUAUAUGAUAAAAAAUUUAGCAUAAAUAUAAAUAUUCCAAAUGUAACGUUUCUAACACUAAAUGAAUAUAUUUAGAAAUAAAAAAAUAUUUUAUUGUUAAAAUAAUUAAUGACGUUUAUUAAAAUCUUAGAACCUUGAUAAAAAUUUAAAAAGAAAUGAGAUUUUAAUCAAUGAAAUAUGAAAAGUAAGAAUGAAAACUUAAUUUUUUUCAUUUUUUAAAUUAUGAGUUAGAAGAUAGACGCUUUUAAUUAUUAAAAAACAUUAUCGAGAAGAUUGACCCUUUUAUGCGUAAGAUUGUGCAAGUUUGGAAGGUGAGUGAGAUCGGCGGAGGUGAGGUUGUCAUUUCCCAAGUAGCUAGUUAGAUUUGCUGAGUCGAUCGAUCUUCAUACACGUCAACAUAUUUGUGAUAUAAUUAGAGUUUAAAAUUUCUUUUACACGGUCGAUAUUUUUGUGCAAAUAUUAGAAAAAUUAGAAAAAGAUAUGGAAAGGGAGGGAGGUAAAGUCUAAAUUCAUCUCAUAUUGGUUAAAUAUCAACAAAUUUUCAUUUGAUAUUCCUUAAUUAAUCUCAUUUCAAAUUUUCAAGUUUUUGAGCAAAUUUCCAUCAUUUCCGUCUAAUGUAACCAAUAUUGAUAUCAAUAUAUCUAUCGAUAUUUCACAAAUUUGAAUACAAAUAUUUCCAUACUAGAUAUAACCAUGCAAUACUUCAAAAGAAUUGGAGAAAAAAACUCACCAAAUCGAUCAAUGAUCUUGCUUUCUACUAAUUGACUUCGUCUUCUUCUUGGACGAGAAUCCCAAUUUCCAGUUUGGGUUGCAAGAAAUCUCUUCUUUUUUUUGACACACAUUUACCAAAGGAUAGCCGACACAUUUGAAUCACAUUUGUUAUUUAAACCAACUCUGACUCUUGGAUCCAAUCCAAAUAUUUGAGUUUAAACCCAAAAAAAUGUCACCCAAAACUAGGACUCAAACGGUCAAACCUAUAAAUUUGAGUUUGGACCCAAAUUUGGGUUCAGAUUUGGCUGACCCAAAUCUUGAAUGGGUCCCAUUUAAAAUGUAGCUAAAUAUAAGAAUUAGUGGCCAACAAUUAGGCCCCAAGUGGCAAGGACCCCAGUUGUCCAAUGGUAAUUGUAGCCAUUUUGAUUUUUGGACUGUUGGUUAUCAACACUCCAGAUCAAACUCCUUUUUUGGGCAACCAUUUUAAACUAAUCUAAUGGUAUAUAUGCUUGUUUUUGUCAAAUCCAAUGGCUGAAAUCUAAGUCCAAUGCCAAAACAAUAAAAUAAUAUUUGGUAUGUGUAUUGAACUUUGGUUGGUUAAUGUAUGUAUUGAAGUUUGGUUGGUUGAGUGAUUAGUUGGUGUGAUUUGUUUGGUUUCGAAAAUCUUAUUGGAACUUAAAAUUUUUUAGAUUUAAAUAUUCGUAAAAUUAAAUUAUAACAUAACUAAAAGUUACAAAAAAAAUAAAAUAAUAAUUAGGGUUAAAGCCAUUCUACAACUAUUAAUACAUUUUAAGUUUUGAAAUUUAAGUUUAGAAGAUUGUGUGACAUUCACUGUUCACAUAAAUACUUGAAAUUUUGAGAUAUAAUUGAGUUAUGAAAAGAAAUUUAAGUAAAAAUUAACACGUAUACAACAAAUUCAAAAAAAAAAAAAAAAACACACACACACACAUAUAAUACAAGUGGACGAAAAUAACCUUAAAAUUGACAACUAAAUGAAGAAAAACAUUAGCAAGAACUAGAAGGCUUAUAAUUCAAGGAAAUUGCUAAAUUACAUCUGUGUUGCUUUCAAGUUCACUAAUAAUUUUCAUGCCCUCAGCCACUUUGAUCGAGGCAGGCCUAGCUGAAAUUUCUUCCCACCAUGCCUUCACGUGAGGACGAUCGUUAACCAACGAAGUCCAAGGAGUCUUCAUGAAAUAAAAGGUGUAGGGGUAGUGACGAAGGUCAGCUAGGCUGUAGAACUCAGCAGAAAGGUACUUGUUUGUUGCUUGCUGCUCAGCCUUCUCUCAUACACGUCGAGCAACUUCUCUAGCUUCUCUAAACUCCCGUUGAUGAGUGCUUGAUCCAGUUUAAUUCUGUUUGGACCCAAAAUUACAUCACCGUCUGUGCAAUCAAAGCCAUUGAGUGAACAUAGUUCUCUACUAUUGGAUGGUAGAAUAGUUAAGAUAAUUAUUAUUGAAGGAUAUAUUGUGAUUUUAAUCAUGAUAUUAUCUUUUAAUAGUAUAUCAAUUCAUAUGGACUGAAUAUGAUUAAUAUCCUAGAGUUUGUUCGGAAAUGGGUUUCUCUGCAUGAGAUAAUAUUAAAUAAGAAUGGUUGGAUAAUAUUAAAUAAGAAUGGUUAUAUAAUUACCAAUGGUCAGAAGAAAAAUUGCAAUUCAUUUGUAAAUUCUCUAGUCAACACAUGCAUACACGUGGAGGGUUGGGAGACUACUUCCCAUGUAAUUAUGUACCGCAAGUUUGGUGAUUACACAAUCGGCCCAAACGAUCGAGGCUGUUGAGUGAACGAAGUUCUAAACCGUUAGGUGAUUGAGUCAGGAUAAUUUUAGGGGAAUGUAUUCAAUUGGGAAUUUAAGAGAUUUUAAUAGAUUUAUAAAUCUAUGGAUUUUUAUGGAGUUUAACUGAUUUGUAGAGAUUUUAUGUAAAAUUUUGAUUCAAUUCUCUCGAAAUUUCAUGGGGAGAUGUGAGAUUUGUGUAUGCUUAAAAUACACUACAAAAUCUCUCCAAUUCCUUCUAAUUCCUCAAUUUUUUAAAUUCUUUAAAUUCUAAUUCUAAUUGAAUACUUCUGGAAUGUUAUAAACUUCUUUAAAAUUUUAAUUGAAUACACUCGGAUUUCUAAGGAUUUUAAUAAAUUAUCUUAAAAUUCUGAUUGAAUACCCCUAUAUUCAUUAAAAGAAUUAAAAUCCCUCAAAAUCCCAAUUGAAUACACCUUCCAUAGUUAUUAUUAAGGAAUAAUAUUGUGAUUUUUAUCAUAAUAAUUAUCUCUUAAUAAUAUAUUGAAUUAUCUAGAGCACAUCUGGGUGGUAAAGUAGCGGUGAUUUGAUACAAUGUUAUGUGGUUUAAUACUGCUGCAAUCUCGUGGAAAGAUAGCAUGACUAUCAUGAAUGGAGUCAGAGUAUGGCAGGAUGAUUAUCAAGUCCAACAACUAAUUUGAAGAUGGGAUUGCAUGCAAAGGAGAAAUUUUUAAGAGUGAUAGAAACACACACCUCAACAAGACAGGUGGUGUUACUAAUCAAUUUUUGACUUCGGUUCACUUGGAUUAGGUGAUUUAUUUAUUAAUGGUGGUUUAUUUAUUAUUUCACGGAUAACGAAGCCUUAAGACCACUUGUUUCCUCUCAUCCGUCUCUCUCUUCGUCUAUCUCUUCACAGCAGAUACUUUUGAGACCUAAUCAACUAACUGAUUUGGGGAUUACAAUUGAAUUAAAAUUGGGUAAUAACAUAAGAUAGAUGGAGAAGAGACAACUUUGAAUGAAGUGAGAGAGCCCAGAGAGGAAGAAGAGAGGAAUAGAUAGAUGAAGAGAGAGACAGAUGAGAGGGAACAAGGGGUGUUAAGACUUCGUUAUCCAUGAAAUAAUAAAUAAACCACCAUUAAUAAAUAAAUCACCUAGUCCUAGUGAGCCUAAAUCAAAAUUUAGCUGUUAAACUUUAAUAGGAAAACUAAUGAAAAGGGUUUGAAAACUUUAAGUUUUAACGAUAAGGACAAAAUAAAGGGUAAAGUGAAUAGUAUUAGGAUUGAUUUUUUAGUGUAAAAAUGUGGUUUUUCGUUAAAUUGAACAGUACCGGGAGCUUUUCGUUAAAGUUCCCAACUUUAAUUGGUUGGGAACAUCACCUAUUCUGCUGAGGUGUGUGUUCACGUCACUUCCAAAAAUUUCUCCAAUCCAAGGGUGGAAAUUGAAAAUAAAGAUUGGAUUGCAUGCACGUGGCCACAAACUAAGCCCAAAUGGCGUGAUUUCAACAAACCGAGUCUGAAUCGUAUUUCGUGGGGUUAUUAAAGGAUAUUCUUAAGAAUAUUAUUGGCAGCUUUUGUACUUCUCGGAAUGCAAUUAUACAAUGUGGUCGUCAAACAUACAAGCUCUAUAAAUACAGGACGUACCACGACGAGAAGGCCCUUUCAAUUCAACACACAAAUUGCCCUACUCAAAAAUUUUUAACAACCCUCAGAUUUUAUCCUAUCCCCCUUUCUUCUCGUCAACACAUCUUCAAUUUGGAUAAAACAACAUUGUGAAGGCAACUGGAAACAUCUUCAGUUUGGAUUAAUAGCACUGGAGUCGUAGAAUCAGCUGACCGAGGAGCACCCUCAAUUUGGAUAAACAACACUGCUUCGAGACCAACUGGUUAUUUAUCGAAGUCUCAGUCAACAAGGAUUUCCGAGUCCUUGUUGGUAAAGGUCAUCUCAUCAGCCUUCUAGGUAAAGUGAGGUGUUACCAGGUUACUACAUUCGGCACAUUGAAAGUCGAAUUUGAUAUUGAACUUCGAAGAAACUAGCAGCCUUGUCUUCAGGCUCUAGAACUCGAAAGCCGAGACGUGUUCCUUCCUCGACCGCAGUCGUAGAUCAAGAAGUCAGUAGCGCGCUCAAUGCGAUAUCAGCAUAUUUUACUCCCCGGCCGAGCUCGGCCGUCGAGUUGGCACGCCCCGCAUAUAACCAAAUGACGUAGUUAGCUCAUUAAUUACUCGGCCUGUGUGCCACAUAAGCUUGAUAGUUUUUAGGAUCAACAACUUCCCGGUGUAGGCUUCCCAAAGAACUCAGAGGACAAAUUGCAGGGUGGUACUGUUGGGAUUCCACUUCUGUCCAUACCUUGACGAAUGCAGCUUCUUUCGAGUUUUCGUACGUAAUGAGAUCGUAUCCGGUUUCCUUAAAUUUUUCCUCUACAUAUCCUGUGAUUGCCCUUGAUUCUGGUGUUACAAAUGAAAGACAAUUAAAAUAUAUAAGUUUUGUCAAAUUAGUGAAUAUCCAAUGUAGGAUUUGAGAGGCUUACCAAAAAGUGUGAUGUCACGAUCUUCAAACGGUGGAAUAAGGCCAAAGGACUACGUGUGAUGGGGAGAGAGAUAUCAUAAAAAAUUGCUACAACCAAAGCAAUUAGCUUAUACAUACAAAAUUGAAGAUUCACACUAUGUUUGAAUGAAAAAAUUUAAGAUUACUAAAGAAUUUUAAAAUAACGAAAAUUAAAAUGACGGAAUUUUAUUUUCUAGAAUUUAUGAAUUUUCUUGUUUGGUUAACUUAAAAGAACAGUUGAAAUGAAUAUGAAAUUUGUUGUUCUUAAACUCUUAAUCAUAAAAAUUGGGAAAUAACAUAUAUUUACAUGGAAUUUAAACUGGAAAUUGAAGGUCCCAAAUUCUAAGUUUUUUUCCAUCUAGAAAUUCAAUAUUUCUAUGUUUAUAAAUUCAAACAAGGAAGUUGGUGCAUGUCAAUUUAUAAAUUCAGACUUUUAUCCAAUUUUCAAGCUUAUUUCUCUCAUCCAAAUAUAGUGUCAACUUUUUUGGUAACUUAUGGCCAAUGAAAUUUACGUUCUUGGCAAGAAAGGAGGCUGCUUGUUUUCGAGGCCCAAAAUGUUGAUGGGGACAAACUCGAAAUCAACUUUUUUUCGUGAAGACAGACCUCUACGCGAGCCGUGCAGAGCGACACAGGAAAUCCAUGCAGCUUCAGCACCAUUUCUAGGCCAGUAGAGAGCUACGUGGGGAUGAUCUAUAAUGCUUUGAGUCUGGCUGAAUAGCUUUCAUUGAUUUCUUUACAAGGAAUAACACAAGGUUAUAUACUAGUCUAGGAGUGACUUUACGCGAAAAGUAAUAAAUGAAAACAUGUAAUUAGCAGCAGCUAUAUACACAAAUGAACAAUUAGAUAUUAUGUAAAAGUCAACGGUUGAAUUGCCCAGCUGGGAUGCUUUAUAUCUGGAAGAGAUGGUGUAGUCAUGGCUGGUGUAGGAGUGAUAGAUGGAGAGGAUGAGACUUCCCUUUUUAUGAACAAGCUCUAUAGUCUAUGCUAUGGAUGUUGAAGAUGCUGUGUCUUUAAGGCACUAGGAGGACUAUCACUAGUUGGUACAUUUCCGGUUCUGGGUGACUAUAAGGCUCUUCUUGUUACAGUUAGGUUAGUCUUGUCCGACUUCCAUGGUUGCCAUGUGAAUUAGGUUAGCACAAUCCUUCGUUUGUGUUUUAAUUAUAUUACCAUAUAUUUCUGACACAAAUUACUGGUUUGGUGGAUCACAAACUUCAAACACCAAAAGGCAUCGAUCUUCGUAACGAAAAUGGAAGAAUAAUCUCAAAGGCAUACAACAGCAGCAGUAGCAGAGUCUCGUCCUCCAACUGUUGAACUUAAUUAUAUACUUCAUUCAGAGACCAAGAUCAACCUUGCAUGAUGUACUACAAACUAAUAUACACGCAUGCAUUUAUACUAGUCAUAUUACUCAUUAAAUCAUCAUUUUGGCAGAAACUAGGGAUGCACUUGCUUGCUGUCGUAGAUGAGAUGAUUGAGAUGAGAUUUGGACCUUCCUUUCUCUUGGAAACGGAAUGGAACUCUUACUCUCGAUAGGGCGAGCAUUCACAUUUUGAGAACCUUGUAACUUACCCGAUAAAGGGGAUCAAAACCUGACUUAUAGGACGCAACUGCUCCACCUAUCAUGGUAGCAGUUGCUGUCAGUUUUCUUCAAGUUUUGUAACUGUCUUCCAUCCAUAAUUUGUACAAGUAAUAUGGUUUUCUCACUUUAUAUUAAAUGUGUACUUAAUGUAUAUAAAUUAUACUAUAACCAUAUUUCCUUUAUUAAAUGGUUUGGACCAUUUCUCACACAAAAGUUCUUACACCAACUACUUAGGGGAAACAGAAAAUCAAACGUAUGUUUGAUAACAAACAGACAUGUUGUUAUUUUAGAUAUAUGACUCUGAUGAGUAAGCAGCUGCAACAGAAAUCUUUAGUUCUUGUUUCACUUUUGCAGGGCAAUGACUUUCUUCCAAGCUGGCCUUGCUGUGAUAUCAGCUACCCAUGCGCUAACAUGGGGGCGGGACACGAACAGCUUCUUCGAUUGUGUUCCCAUCAAGUAAUGUAUGGAGGGAAU